AACAGGAUUAGAUACCCUGGUAGUCCACGCCGUAAACGAUGUCGACUUGGAGGUUGUGCCCUUGAGGCGUGGCUUCCGGAGCUAACGCGUUAAGUCGACCGCCUGGGGAGUACGGCCGCAAGGUUAAAACUCAAAUGAACUGACGGGGGCCCGCACAAGCGGUGGAGCAUGUGGUUUAAUUCGAUGCAACGCGAAGAACCUUACCUACUCUUGACAUCCAGAGAACUUAGCAGAGAUGCUUUGGUGCCUUCGGGAACUCUGAGACAGGUGCUGCAUGGCUGUCGUCAGCUCGUGUUGUGAAAUGUUGGGUUAAGUCCCGCAACGAGCGCAACCCUUAUCCUUUGUUGCCAGCGGUUAGGCCGGGAACUCAAAGGAGACUGCCAGUGAUAAACUGGAGGAAGGUGGGGAUGACGUCAAGUCAUCAUGGCCCUUACGAGUAGGGCUACACACGUGCUACAAUGGCGCAUACAAAGAGAAGCGACCUCGCGAGAGCAAGCGGACCUCAUAAAGUGCGUCGUAGUCCGGAUUGGAGUCUGCAACUCGACUCCAUGAAGUCGGAAUCGCUAGUAAUCGUGGAUCAGAAUGCCACGGUGAAUACGUUCCCGGGCCUUGUACACACCGCCCGUCACACCAUGGGAGUGGGUUGCAAAAGAAGUAGGUAGCUUAACCUUCGGGAGGGCGCUUACCACUUUGUGAUUCAUGACUGGGGUGAAGUCGUAACAAGGUAACC
rnacentral:rRNA from 1 species